CAUUCACAACUCAAAAUUGCAAUCUUUCUUAUUAUUAAAAAAUAUUUGCAAUCUUUUUUAGUCAUUCAAAGAGACUAUGGCUCGUUCCAUUUACUUCAUGGCAUUUCUUGCCUUGGCAAUGACACUCUUUGUUGCCCACGAGGUGCAAGGUCAGAACAUUUGCAAAAUAAAA